rnacentral:misc_RNA from 1 species
AAGUCGUAACAAGGUCUCCGUUGGUGAACCAGCGGAGGGAUCAUUACUGAGUUAUCUAAACUCCAACCCUAUGUGAACCUUACCGUCGUUGCCUCGGCGGGCUGCGUCUACCCUGUAGCUACCUGGUAGGCGCGCUACAAGCCCGCCGGUGGACUACUAAACUCUGUUAUAAAUAUUGUAUCUCUGAAUGCUUCAACUUAAUAAGUUAAAACUUUCAACAACGGAUCUCUUGGUUCUG